ACAAAAAAAAGUUUAUAUAAUUAUGGUGUUAUUAAUGUGUUCAUAUCUUCCAGGUAUACAAGCCUGUAAGGUAAAAGCUUCGAAAGAACAUUAUAUCAAGCUGGUAUUCUAAAGUUAUAUGACUCAUUUGCAUGCUUUGCAAUUGGUCCAGAACGAGGUCUGGAAGCCUCUAGCCACAGCAUACAAAGAGGAACUUAAAACCCCCUUGCUGCCACAUCCCUUCAAAGUUGGAGACACCGUCUGGGUACACAGGCACCAGAGCAAGAACCUCGAAUCGCGGUGGAAAGGACCCUACACCAUUCUGCUGACCACUCCCACUGCAGUCAAAGUGGACGGCAUCACCGCUUGGAUCCACGCCUCCCACGUGAAAGCUGCACAUCCACAGGAGUCCGCAGGCACCUCUCCGGAUCCAGAAUGAAAGUUGCAACGCACUCAAAAUCCACUAAAGAUAAGACUCACACGCUGUUGAUUUUCCUUGCUUUGUGCUUUGUAUUUCCCCUAACGGUUGCUAACCAAACUGUGAGCCAGACAUGGCAAAUAUUAUCGGGGACAGGAGAUAUAAUUUAAAACCAAACAUCCACAAAAUACCCCCUUUGGGCUUGGUAACCUGCUCUAAGGCCUGAUCUUUGUUACCUGCUGGCUAAGGCAAAGGACUUUGAUGACCCCAGUGAGGCAGAAGCAUGCGUCUACAGUGGACGCUGCACCUGCGUAGAACAUCCCACAGGGUGUAAAGCAGCUCUAAGGGAGACACCCUUCUACAUAUGCCCUAGGGAUGAAAAAAAACCCAGUCACAGGUACAAAAAUGUGGACAACAUGAAAGUUACUAUUGUAAAUCUUGGGGAUAUAAAACUACGAGGGAUAUAUGAUGGAAGCCAGGUUCAUCUGGGGAUUUAAUACAAGUAAAAAA